rnacentral:rRNA from 1 species
CCUACGGGGUGCAGCAGUGAGGAAUAUUGGUCAAUGGUCGGGAGACUGAACCAGCCAAGCCGCGUGAGGGAGGAAGGUACAGAGUAUCGUAAACCUCUUUUGUCAGGGAACAAAGGCGGGGACGUGUCCCCGGAUGAGUGUACCUGAAGAAAAAGCAUCGGCUAACUCCGUGCCAGCAGCCGCGGUAAUACGGAGGAUGCGAGCGUUAUCCGGAUUUAUUGGGUUUAAAGGGUGCGCAGGCGGUCUGUUAAGUCAUCGGUAAAAGCCCGGGGCUCAACCCCGGCCCGCCGUUGAAACUGGCAGUCUCGAGUGGGAGAGAAGUAUGCGGAAUGCGCGGUGUAGCGGUGAAAUGCAUAGAUAUCGCGCAGAACUCCGAUUGCGAAGGCAGCAUGCCGGCUCCACACUGACGCUGAGGCACGAAAGCGUGGGUAUCGAACAGGAUUAGAUACCCCAGUAGUC